CAGCGCCACGAGUGGGAAUCACGAUUAUUGGGCCUAAAGCGUCCGUAGCCGGCUUGAUAAAUCUUUAGUGAAAUCGAUCAGCUUAACUGAUCGGCGUGCUAGGGACACUGUCAAGCUAGGAACCGGGAGGAGUCAGAAGUAUAUUUGGGGGAGCGGUAAAAUGCAAUAAUCCUAAAUAGACUACCUGUGGCGAAGGCGUCUGACCAGAACGGAUUCGACGGUGAGGGACGAAAGCUAGGGGAGCGAACCGGAUUAGAUACCCGAGUAGUCC
rnacentral:rRNA from 1 species